GCUUGCUUUGACAGGACAUAUGCUAUAUUUGCAAUGACACAGAGAAGANUAGCUUGGCCCCUGUGCAAGGACAACACUUAUGCUUGUGAAGCAUUACUUAUUUUU
rnacentral:snRNA from 1 species